AUGAGCGUGGUGGUCCUGGACGGGUCGACGGUGCGGUCCUUCGUGGCCGACGAGGCGGCCUUCGCGCGCAGCGUGGAUGCGCGCUUCGCCGCGCUCGACGCCAACGGCGACGGCGUGCUCUCCCGCGCCGAGCUCCGCCGCGCGCUCGAGUCCUUCCGCCUCCUCGACGGCGCGGGCUUCGGCUCCGCCGAGCCGGCCCCGCUCCCGGGCGAGGUCGCGGCCCUCUACGACGCCGUGUUCGAGCAGUUCGACGCUGACCACAGCGGCGCCGUGGACCGCGCCGAGUUCCGCGGCGAGAUGCGCCGCAUCAUGCUCGCCGUCGCCGACGGCCUCGGCUGCCAGCCGCUCCAGGUCGCCGUGGACGACAAGGGCGGCAGCUUCCUGCUCGAGGCCGCGGAGCACGAGGCCGCCAUGAUCGCCGCCAGGGUCCAGGAAGAACGCGACAAGACCGCGGCCGAGGAGGCAGCCGACGGCAAGUGA
rnacentral:rRNA from 1 species